rnacentral:rRNA from 1 species
GAUGAACGCUAGCUACAGGCUUAACACAUGCAAGUCGAGGGACAGGCGCACGGGUGAGUAACACGUAUCCAACCUGCCCUUUACUCGGGGAUAGCCUUUCGAAAGAAAGAUUAAUAACCGAAAUAAAGGAUGGGGAUGCGUUCAAUUAGGUUGUUGGUGAGGUAACGGCUCACCAAGCCUUCGAUGGAUAGGGGUUCUGAGAGGAAGGUCCUCCACAUUGGAACUGAGACACUGUCCAAACUCCUACAGAAGGCAGCAGUGAGUAAUAUUGGGCAAUGGGCGCUAGCCUGAACCAGCCAAUUAGCGUGAAGGAUGAAGACUGAUGUGUCGUAAAUUUCUUUUAUAUAAGAAUAUAUAUUAUAUGAAUAAGGCUCGGCUAACUCCGGGCCAGCAGCCGCGGUAAUAC